GAUGAACGCUGGCGGCGUGCCUAAUACAUGCAAGUAGAACGCUGAAGGAAGGAGCUUGCUCUUUCCGGAUGAGUUGCGGACGGGUGAGUAACGCGUAGGUAACCUGCCUGGUAGCGGGGGAUAACUAUUGGAAACGAUAGCUAAUACCGCAUAACAGUAGAUGUUGCAUGAUAUCUACUUAAAAGGUGCAAUUGCACCACUACCAGAUGGACCUGCGUUGUAUUAGCUAGUUGGUGAGGUAACGGCUCACCAAGGCGACGAUACAUAGCCGACCUGAGAGGGUGAUCGGCCACACUGGGACUGAGACACGGCCCAGACUCCUACGGGAGGCAGCAGUAGGGAAUCUUCGGCAAUGGACGGAAGUCUGACCGAGCAACGCCGCGUGAGUGAAGAAGGUUUUCGGAUCGUAAAGCUCUGUUGUAAGAGAAGAACGAGUGUGAGAGUGGAAAGUUCACACUGUGACGGUAGCUUACCAGAAAGGGACGGCUAACUACGUG
rnacentral:rRNA from 1 species